rnacentral:tRNA from 1 species
UAGCCUAAUGGUUAAGGCUAUGGAUCGCCAUUCCGGAGACGAUGGGUUCGAUUCCCGU